rnacentral:sRNA from 1 species
AGCAGCCGCGGUAAUUCCAGCUCCAAUAGCGUAUAUUAAAGUUGUUGCAGUUAAAAAGCUCGUAGUUGAAUUUCGGGAUCAAUAUUUCGGUCAUGCCGUUGGUAUGCACUGUUAUCAUUGAUUUCUCACCUUCUAAAGAACCGUAAUGCCAUUAAUUUGGUGUUACGGGGAAUUAGGACUGUUACCUUGAAAAAUUAGAGUGUUUAAAGCAGGCUCACGCUUGAAUACAUUAGCAUGGAAUAAUGAAAUAGGACAUCCGAUUCUAUUUUGUUGGUUUCUAGGAUCGAUGUAAUGAUUAAUAGGGAUAGUUGGGGGCAUUAGUAUUCAAUUGUCAGAGGUGAAAUUCUUGGAUUUAUUGAAGACUAACUACUGCGAAAGCAUUUGCCAAGGAUGUUUUCAUUAAUCAAGAACGAAAGUUAGGGGAUCGAAGACGAUCAGAUACCGUCGUAGUCUUAACCAUAAACUAUGCCGACUAGGGAUCGGAUGA